UACGUAGGUGGCGAGCGUUGUCCGGAUUUCUGGGCGUAAAGAGCGCGCAGGCGGCUGGUCAAGUCCGAUGUGAAAGCUCCCGGCUUAACUGGGAAAUUGCAUCGGAAACUGAUCGGCUGGAAGGUGGGGAGAGGGUAGCGGAAUUCCCCGGUGUAGUGGUGAAAUGCGUAGAUAUCGGGGAGGAACACCAGUGGCGAAAAGCGGCUUCCUGGUCCAGCACCGACGUCAGGCACGAAAGCGUGGGGAGCAAACAGG
rnacentral:rRNA from 1 species